CAGCUUUUUUUACCGCCUGGACGCCUAGGCGACGCCUUGAAAACAAUGGUUGUAAGUGCUGAUGAGCAAGUACAUGACCAAACCUUGCACUCUAGUCUAUCUGCUGUUGCUCGUUUAUUGGCUAUUAAAUCUCAAUACAAUCUCUCAGUGGCAUGCUAUGAUGAUUUUGUGGAUCUUCUGCAUGAACUCCUCCCUCCCAAUUCUAGGUUUCCUAAGAAUUUUUCCAUUCCAAACAAUUAUUUGAGCACACUGGUAGAUGCAGCUGAAUUUCUACUUACUUUCAAGCUUAAGUGUGUUUCCUUUUCUGUUUUUAGCUUGCGACUACUAACUUUUGUUAUUUCAAGGAUGACUACAAUGCAGCACUCCAGGAGAAGUAUCCAGAUAAUUGGCAAGAGAAACCUUUUGAUGGGCAGAUAGCAUAUAACGUUGAUGGUGGCUUGUCCCAUGGUCGUCUUGCAAUAGGAGAUGGUGCUGUCAAGAAGGGUCCAAUUAUUGAUUCUGCUAAGGCAAGUGAGAUAAGGCCAUCAACCUCAAGGUCUUACCAAAAUCUCUUCAGAAGGUAUGAGGAGGAAGUUCAGAACAACCGUCGCUUAACUCAACAAAAUGCAGUCUUGACUCGACAUGUGAAGCGGACGGAUUGUCUACUCGAGUUCAUUGCUAAAAAAGCCAACAUAGUUAUACCGCCUGACAUGCUUGUGGAGGAACAAAAUGACAUGAGAGAGACUGGAGAUGGAUCCUCCCAUGCUCCAGCCUACUUGGACAACAAUAGUGACGGUCACUGAGUAGCCUUC